UACUGAGACACGGACCAGACUCCUACGGGAGGCAGCAGUGAGGAAUAUUGGUCAAUGGGCGCAAGCCUGAACCAGCCAUGCCGCGUGCAGGAUGACGGUCCUAUGGAUUGUAAACUGCUUUUGCACAGGAAGAAACACUCUCUCGUGAGAGAGCUUGACGGUACUGUGAGAAUAAGGAUCGGCUAACUCCGUGCCAGCAGCCGCGGUAAUACGGAGGAUUCAAGCGUUAUCCGGAAUCGUUGGGUUUAAAGGGUCCGUAGGCGGUUUAGUAAGUCAGUGGUGAAAGCCCAUCGCUCAACGGUGGAACGGCCAUUGAUACUGCUAGACUUGAAUUAUUAGGAAGUAACUAGAAUAUGUAGUGUAGCGGUGAAAUGCUUAGAGAUUACAUGGAAUACCAAUUGCGAAGGCAGGUUACUACUAAUGGAUUGACGCUGAUGGACGAAAGCGUGGGUAGCGAACAGGAUUAGAUACCCUGGUAGUCCACGCCGUAAACGAUGGGUACUAGCUGUUGGGAGCAAUCUCAGUGGCUAAGCG
rnacentral:rRNA from 1 species